GGUAAUAGUGGCUUCUGCACCAAACACACAGAGGUCAUCACUGAGGUGUCGCCUGCCAGCUUGUGUCUCUCCUGGGCUGGGAAGACAGACGGAAAAACAGACAGCAGGCAGACGAACAGGUACAGAUGUACAACAACCCCAUGGCCUCCCCAGCAACAUUCGGGGCAACCUGCUGCCAACGGUACUCCUAGUCCUGCUGGACGAUGUUCAGCCGCGAGGCCACCAGGCCCUCCAUUGGGGAGAACUUCCUCAUGUCCCACAGCUUGAUGGACUGGUCCUUUUGAGUUACUGAUCAGAGAACGUGCAUCGCCCUGCAAGGUGAGAGAGGAAGAUUAUAAUUAAUCUGUAUCUUCCUGACAGGGAUGAGGAGUCAACAGGCACACAGAGAAGGUUUAUAAUGAAUCUGUAUCUUCCUGACAGGGAUGAUGAGUCAACAGGCACACAGAGAAGGUUUAUAAUGAACCUGUAUCUUCCUGACAGGGAUGAGGAGUCAACAGGCACACAGAGAAGGUUUAUUUAUACCUUAAUGUACACAGUAUCAGGAUGAAGUGGUUAGAGUUUUAGACCCUGUCCAAAUACAAAAAAAUGCAUCCUUCCUCACUAUCGAAGUGCUUGCUGAUUGGUCAAACAGCACUGCAUAGCUUUCACCUGUCCAGUUAUAUCAGAACAGUGCAUUUAUGUAUAAACAGUAAAUUGUCCCAUGUAUGUGUUUAGGCUUUGAUAUCGAUGAUUACAUACACAGUAAGAGAAUGUAAGAGAGUGAUUGCAUAUGCUGGACGCAUACACACGGUAGUGGUUCUCCUCUAUUACCUUGCUGUGGAUGAAGGUGAUACAGUCUCUGUGUCCAGACAGCUGGCCCACCGGCUUGGGUCUGUCCUCCCGCAGCGUCAGUCUGUCCCACACCUUGCAGAGCGUGUCGUCGCUGCCUGAGAACAGCAGCUGGGACGAGCUGUCGGCAAACGCCACUGUGUUCACAUCGUGGUCGUGAGCUUUGAUCUGAGGAGACAGAUGGGGGGGGGGCAGAUGGCAGAGGUCAACAACACGGUGAUGUGGGUCAUGACAAAGGGUCCCAAGAGAACAGGAUUGUUCUGUAUCGUCAGCUAAAACCUGAGGUGGUGGUGUGAAGCUUACAGUGGGGAGACAGAGGGUGACCAGGUUGUGACUGGAUACUUGCAAUGCCAAUGUCCAUAGGCGGGCAGACACACACUUGAAGAGUUCUCUUAUUCUGUUCCCGAUCGAUGACAUAGAAGCAGCCAUCAUUAGCUAGGCUCUAAAACGCAACAAACUAUUUUAUUUUCAAAUGUCUCGGAAAAUGUCAAAUUGGAAUGAAAUAUAUUGGGUGCACUCACUCUCCAAUGACCCCUUUCCCUCUGGAGGCAACCAGAGAGAAGACACAGAACCUGUUCUUAUCUGGGCUAAGAGGGAAGAACAGAACAUUAACCAGCCUCAGCCAGAGAGAAGACACAGAACCUUAUCUGGGCUAAGAGGGAAGAACAGAACAUUAACCAGCCUCAGCCAGAGAGAAGACACAGAAC